rnacentral:lncRNA from 1 species
UUAAGUGCAAAAAUAAUAUUAAUCAAUUUCAAUAAGGUUGAACCUAUAAAUUGGCGAGCAUUCUUAUUCUUCCACAUCACAAGCUAAUUAGUCUUCAUUCUUUAAACUUGUCCAUUUUAUUUGCUAAUCAAUUUUGAAAAAUGGCACACAUUAGUAACUGCGUCAUGAGCAGAGUAAUAUUGUUGAUGGUGUUGAUUGUGGGGCUUUUGAUGGCUGCUGAGGCUAGGAUACAAGAUGGCGAGUUCACUCAAACUGCGCCAGCUCCAGCCCCUUCUAUGGACGCUGGAGCUGGAUUUUUGAUUACUUAUUCGGGAACAUUUGUUUGUUCUUCGAUUAUUCUAUCUCUAUCUGCUCUUCUCUCACAUUAGAUUGACUUAUUACAUUAAUCAUUCUACAUUUUUUUCUUUAUAGGAUUCAAUUAUUCUAUUUUCUUCUUAAGAUUCAAUUCUCUUAAUUUAUUUGAGUAGGAAGUGAUGAUUAGUAAAUGGUCAGUGCAUUUUUUUUACGGAAAUGGAGAGUGUAUUUUGAUUGUCAUUAUUUUUUUCCAUUAUAAUUGUAUUAUUAUAUCGUAAUCUUCCCCCUAAUUAUUGGUUAGGGUGUUAUUCAUUAUUUCAAUUUUAUAUAUUUACUUGUGGUUUUAAAUCUCUCUUUUCCGGUUAAAAUUUCCUCUCUAGGCUUCUACACAUUCGAGUAAUGUCUCCCUUUCUUAAUAUUUGUUGAUUAAAUCAUUAAGAUAGAAAAUUAGACUAAUCAUAAAUAUUUAAUGCAAAUAGUUGGAGUUCUGUGCUUUAAUGUUGUAAAUUA